UGAUGGGAGCUUGCUCCCUGAUGUCAGCGGCGGACGGGUGAGUAACACGUGGGCAACCUGCCUGUAAGACUGGGAUAACUUCGGGAAACCGGAGCUAAUACCGGAUAACUUCUAGCACCUCCUGGUGCGAGAAUAAAAGAUGGUUUCGGCUAUCACUUACAGAUGGGCCCGCGGCGCAUUAGCUAGUUGGUGAGGUAACGGCUCACCAAGGCGACGAUGCGUAGCCGACCUGAGAGGGUGAUCGGCCACACUGGGACUGAGACACGGCCCAGACUCCUACGGGAGGCAGCAGUAGGGAAUCUUCCGCAAUGGACGAAAGUCUGACGGAGCAACGCCGCGUGAGCGAUGAAGGCCUUCGGGUCGUAAAGCUCUGUUGUUAGGGAAGAACAAGUACCGGAGUAACUGCCGGUACCUUGACGGUACCUAACCAGAAAGCCACGGCUAACUACGUGCCAGCAGCCGCGGUAAUACGUAGGUGGCAAGCGUUGUCCGGAAUUAUUGGGCGUAAAGCGCGCGCAGGCGGUCCUUUAAGUCUGAUGUGAAAGCCCACGGCUCAACCGUGGAGGGUCAUUGGAAACUGGGGGACUUGAGUACAGAAGAGGAAAGUGGAAUUCCACGUGUAGCGGUGAAAUGCGUAGAGAUGUGGAGGAAC
rnacentral:rRNA from 1 species